GAAGAGAGAUAACAAGGAGGGCACAAAGAGACAAAGAAGUAGUGUGGUUUUAGGGCUGGGCAAUAUAGAUUGAUAGAUAAAUAGAUAGAUAAAACCUGGGCUGGGUUGGGCAUUGUUGAUAGAUACAUAGAUAUAUAGCUACUUUGUCUGGCUGUCUGGCUGUGUGUCUGAAUCGCUUACUGACUCAACUAGCUGGUCCAAAUCUUUUAAAAACAAGGGCACACAACCCAUGUGGCAGUGAAGGAAAUCAAUUUUGAAUUCUGUUUUUUUUUUCUGUUUUUUUAUGUAAUAAGUGUUUGUGUGU
rnacentral:lncRNA from 1 species